AUUGAACGCUGGCGGCAGGCCUAACACAUGCAAGUCGAACGGUAACAGGAAGAAGCUUGCUUCUUUGCUGACGAGUGGCGGACGGGUGAGUAAUGUCUGGGAAACUGCCUGAUGGAGGGGGAUAACUACUGGAAACGGUAGCUAAUACCGCAUAACGUCGCAAGACCAAAGAGGGGGACCUUCGGGCCUCUUGCCAUCAGAUGUGCCCAGAUGGGAUUAGCUAGUAGGUGGGGUAACGGCUCACCUAGGCGACGAUCCCUAGCUGGUCUGAGAGGAUGACCAGCCACACUGGAACUGAGACACGGUCCAGACUCCUACGGGAGGCAGCAGUGGGGAAUAUUGCACAAUGGGCGCAAGCCUGAUGCAGCCAUGCCGCGUGUAUGAAGAAGGCCUUCGGGUUGUAAAGUACUUUCAGCGGGGAGGAAGGGAGUAAAGUUAAUACCUUUACUCAUUGACGUUACCCGCAGAAGAAGCACCGGCUAACUCCGUG
rnacentral:rRNA from 1 species